AUAGAAACAAAUAUGCUUAAAUUUAUUUUUGUGCAAAAUUUUUAAACAAAUAUUAUAUAUUAUAAUAUAUAUUAAUCAUAACAUUACAUAAAUCAAAAUUUUUAUUGUGAACUGUUUUUAAAGAACUUAGGAAAAAACAAUGUCCAAAAAGAUAUUCAAAAAAAAUAUAUAUAAUAUAAAAAUUUCUUUUAGUGAUAAAAAUGUAAGUCAUAUGAUUAUAAUUUGUUUCAAUUCAUUCAUGAUAUAUAUUCAAAAUUUAUAUAUAUUAUAUAUAUUAUUUAAUUUUAUUUUUUUUUUUGAAUAAAUGUAUACAUAUUUAUAUUUAAAAUAUUAAUUUUCUUUUAUAUAUUAUUUAUUUUACAUAUUUAUUUUUAUAUAUUAUAAAAAAAAUGGAAGAAGAAAUAGAAAUUUUUGCUUAAUUAGGAAAAGAAAGACAAUUAUAAAUAUAUUUAAAUAAAGUUGUGUCUUUGAUUUGUCAUGCUUAGCAAGUUUAAGAUGUGAUGUGUUCUGAAAAGAAUCAAAAUGUAUAUAAAUAUUAAAUAUUAUUUUAUGUCACUACAAUAUAUUAUUAUAUCAAUAUACAGUGAUAAUUUAUUCCAUAUUAUGAUCAUUUAAAUAAUCAAAAUUAAAUAAUUAACAUAACAUAAAUAAUUUUUGUUCUUAACAGUUUGAAUUAUUUGUAUAUAAUAUAACAUGUAUUAUAGUCAUAUUAAUUACAUACAUUAAUUGUAUAAUAUAUUGUAUAUAUAUAUAUUGUAUAUUGUAUAACAAAUUCAAUAUAUUUAAACUCUUAAAUAAUAUAAUAUUUUAAUGAGUCGGUAGAUCAUUUUUUCAACCAUCAAAACCAGUGCACAUAAAGGAUUUCCUAAAAAAAAUCUAAUCAAUUAUUACUUUAGAAACUCAACGUUAAUGAUAAUUAAUAAUAACUUUCGAAUAAUGAUAGCGGGAGUGAAAGAAUAUAAAUCAGAUGGUUAUAUCUAAAUAAAUAUCUAAAUAAAUAUAUAAAUAACAAUGUAAUGUAAAUAAUAAAAUUGCAGUCAAAUAAAUAGUUGCUCUUGUUAAUAUUUUAUUUCUCCCUUUUAUUUAUGGAGUUAAAAAAUAGUGAUAGUCUCAUAUUUCUUAAAUAUGGCAAAAUAUUAUUGAGGAUAUAUAAUUUUGCAUUUUUAAUAUAUUUUUAAUCAUAAUUGCAUUAUUAAUUGUAUUUUAUUUCAAAAACUCAUUCUUUUGAUAUCAUAUAUAAUUUUAUUGUAAACUUUACAUUUUAUUUUCUAUAAAUCAUCAGUGCAUCAUUUUUUGAAUUUCAAAUUUGAGUCCUUUAAAUAUGCAUUACGAAAUAAUUGUUUUCUUUUUCCUGUUAUUGUAGCUUUGCUAUUAUCUAUAUAUAAAAUAAGCAUUAUUAUAUAUUAUAAAUUUUAAAUAAUUUUUUAAAUUAUAUUAGCAAAAAUAUUUAUCUUAUUUAACAAUAUUAUGAAACUUCUUGAAACUGUAAAUUAUUAAAAAUAACAAAUUAAGAAAAUUCAACAUACUACAAGAGUACAAAUUGCACAUCCAAAAAUAGUUUAGUGGUUUGAUAAGGUUAAAUACAUCAAAUUUUUGCCAAAAUUGUUGUAUCAUAAUGUAUCUCUAACAAUAGUAAUAGAGAUAAUGUAACAUUAUGUAGAAAUUUGCUGGAAGGGAAUUAAACCAUUUUUAAUAAGAAGAUUAA